ACUUCUCAAGUCUCUCCAACUUUGGCAGUUGACUUGGAUUUGGAGGGUUUAUAUGCAGGCCCUUUGCUGGGUCAGCUCCUCUGAAAUGCAUUAGCGGAACCGUUUGUGAUCUGUUCCAGGUGUGAUAAUUAUCUACGCCAGUGGGGUCACUCUCUGUCCUGUUCAGCUUCCAACUGUCCUGCUUUGUGCGGACAACAAUUUACUGAAC
rnacentral:misc_RNA from 1 species